UACAGAGGUGGCAAGCGUUGUUCGGAAUUACUGGGCGUAAAGGGCGCGUAGGCGGUCUUGUAAGUCCCGUGUGAAAGCCCCCGGCUCAACUGGGGAAUGGCACGGGAAACUGCGAGGCUUGAGUUCGGGAGAGGGAAGCGGAAUUCCGGGUGUAGCGGUGAAAUGCGUAGAUAUCCGGAGGAACACCGGUGGCGAAGGCGGCUUCCUGGACCGACACUGACGAUGAGGCGCGAAAGCUAGGGGAGCAAACAGG
rnacentral:rRNA from 1 species